rnacentral:rRNA from 1 species
CACUCUAGAGAGACUGCCGGUGACAAACCGGAGGAAGGUGGGGAUGACGUCAAGUCCUCAUGGCCCUUAUGGGUAGGGCUUCACACGUCAUACAAUGGUGCGUACAGAGGGUUGCCAACCCGCGAGGGGGAGCUAAUCCCAGAAAACGCAUCGUAGUCCGGAUCGUAGUCUGCAACUCGACUACGUGAAGCUGGA